UACGAAGGGGGCUAGCGUUGUUCGGAAUUAUUGGGCGUAAAGAGCUCGUAGGCGGCUUGUCACGUCGGGUGUGAAAGCCCGGGGCUUAACCCCGGGUCUGCAUUCGAUACGGGCUAGCUAGAGUGUGGUAGGGGAGAUCGGAAUUCCUGGUGUAGCGGUGAAAUGCGCAGAUAUCAGGAGGAACACCGGUGGCGAAGGCGGAUCUCUGGGCCAUUACUGA
rnacentral:rRNA from 1 species